GCAUUUUUAGGCUUGUUUUGCACUCAACUUUUGGCACUCUUUUUGGGUAAUUAGAGAUAAUAUAAUUUUUGGGCUAGGCAGAAAUCCACAGCUAUAGCUGUGGAUCUGGAGCUCGAGCUGUGAAAAUUUGGGGAGAAAUUGUGAAGUUCCAGAGACUUGAAGCUAUAGCUGUAGAUCUGGAGCUCGAGCUGUGAAUCUGGAGCUCGAGCUGUGAAUCUGGGGCUCGAGCUGUGGAAAUCUGGAAAGCUGAAGCUCGAGCUGUGAAUCUGGAGCUCGAGCUGUGGAAGUCUGAAAAGGGUCCAGAAAGUUGGAGCUAUAGCUGUGAAUCUACAGCUGUAGCUGUGGAGAUAAAAAUCACUUUUCUGCCCCUAUUUUAAAGCUGAUAUAAACAAAGGAAAAGAGAGAAACAGUGGGGUACAAAAUUAAGGAAAGAAACAAGAAGCACAUGAGCACUCAAUUAAAAAGAGAGACAAGGAGCCUUAAAUUAAGGAGAAACAAACAAGGAAAAAGGGGAAAAUCAUUAGUGGAAAAACCACUAAUUGAACCAAUAAUGCAAAAACAGCUGUAUAUACAUUGAUUGGAGACUACAGCUCAAAAAAACUAACUGAUUGGGGGCUGCAGCUAGGGAGUCACGUAGGAGGAGUCCUGAACCUCUGUUUUUGAUCUGCAACUUUGUACUCUCUUAUGGAAUUUGCUGCAGAAUUUGUAAUGGCCAUGAGUGGCUAAUUUCAUUGAGGAUUGGUUGGAUGUAACUACUAACUCUUCUCCUUCUUAAA